GGGUGGGCAACCUCAGAAAAAGAAGACGAGAAAGGUCAAAUAACGUGUGCAAUUGCUAUCCUGACAGUAGUGUUCGUGCGGCGGGCUGUUCUCACCGUAUAAGUCUGUCACCGUCUGUAGGACUCAAUUUGUUUACAAAUAUAAAGUGUCACAACUAGCAUACUAACAGUAACCUUCGACAAGCAUUCGAUACUCUUUUGCAGCAGGUUUCGUCAAACGGCUGACAGCACUCUUCUACCUCAACGAACGGGUAAAAUGACUCGACCUUCCGGUAGCGGAAGUAACUGUCAACUUCAAAGUGCAGCUUGUAAACCCCACGCUGCAGGCCAGCGGUCUGCUGAGUAUCAAAGAAUUGUCGGAAUCGCCCGUCGGUGUCAGUGGAGCCAGAGCCAAUCUUCGUCCAGGUUGUAGUUUCCGGUGAUCCCUGUCUGUACAGCGUCACAAGCACUUCUGUUGCUGGUUGGCCACAUGUCGUGUCGAGGAUGUGUGUUGAGAGGUUCUGCAUCGUUCGAUCUUCUGGAUGCUGUAUACAGCGUGAAUGGCGGUUAGACGACGUUGACGAUGAACCUAUCACUACAAACCACGAGAUUACGACGAAGGCUAAUACAGUUAACUAUCACUAAUACACGAGUGCUUUCUGGAACGUUUUCCGGUUGUUGUGGAUGCAGAUUACACGAACAAAUAGUAAAAUUUUGCGAAUAAAGAUGUGCAGGAUGGA